GUCCACGUUGCGGCGGACCCGAGCCAGAAGCCAGCCAUGGCCGCUGCUGCAGCCGGCCACCACUUCGUCGUCAUGGCGAUGAGGCCGGCUGC
rnacentral:sRNA from 1 species